rnacentral:rRNA from 1 species
UACGUAGGGUGCGAGCGUUAAUCGGAAUUACUGGGCGUAAAGCGUGCGCAGGCGGUGAUGUAAGACAGAUGUGAAAUCCCCGGGCUCAACCUGGGAACUGCAUUAGUGACUGUAUAGCUAGAGUGCGGCAGAGGGGGAUGGAAUUCCGCGUGUAGCAGUGAAAUGCGUAGAUAUUCGGAAGAACACCAGUGGCGAAGGCGGCUCACUGGACCGGCAUUGACGCUGAGGUGCGAAAGCGUGGGGAGCAAACAGGAUUAGAAACCCCAGUAGU